CCCUUAGAUGUUCUGGGCCGCACGCGCGCUACACUGACGAAUGCAACGAGCUUAUAACCUUGGCCGAAAGGUCUGGGUAAUCUCCAAAUUUCGUCGUGAUGGGGAUAGAUUAUUGCAAUUAUUAAUCUUCAACGAGGAAUGCCUAGUAAGCGCAAGUCAUCAGCUUGCGUUGAUUACGUCCCUGCCCUUUGUACACACCGCCCGUCGCUCCUACCGAUUGAAUGGUCCGGUGAAGCGCUCGGACCGCGGCCUCUUGACGGUUUUCCGUCGACUGGCUGUGGGAAGUUCGUUAAACCUUAUCAUUUAGAGGAAGGAGAAGUCGUAACA
rnacentral:rRNA from 1 species